rnacentral:rRNA from 1 species
AACUCUGGCCAUGCCACCCUGAACACGCCCGAUCCUGUCUGAUCUCGGAAGCUAAACAGGGUCGGGUCUGGUUAGUACUUGGAUGGGAGACCACCUAGGAAGACCAGGUGCUGUAGGCA